ensembl:lncRNA
CAAAGGGUAGAAAGGAUAAUUACACAGCGCAACAGAGUACAGCGGUAGGCCCUCUUGGCUCCAGUUCCAACUCCAGUCUGCCUCAGCCCUGCGCAGUCAACCGUCAGCAGCGCCACUGGGUGCAGGGAUAUCCCGAUGAAAAGGGAGACUGUUCGGGGUGAAGAAUUCAGGCAAGAUUUAACUACACUCAUCCGUCAUGAAGUGAAGCGGUUGACUAAUUAACCAUCACUCUGAGACAAAAGCUUUAUUAGAUAGGCGCAGUGAGAGAGAGACAGGAAACAGGGAAGAAGAGUCGGGGGAAGACAUGCAGCAAAGGGCCGCGAGCGGGAAUCGAACCCGGGCCAGCUGCAUCGGGGAC